rnacentral:rRNA from 1 species
CCUCCUACGGGAGGCAGCAGUGGGGAAUAUUGCACAAUGGGCGCAAGCCUGAUGCAGCAACGCCGCGUGAGGGAUGACGGCCUUCGGGUUGUAAACCUCUUUUAGUAGGGAAGAAGCGAAAGUGACGGUACCUGCAGAAAAAGCACCGGCUAACUACGUGCCAGCAGCCGCGGUAAUACGUA